rnacentral:sRNA from 1 species
GUCUCCAGUCUACCUCCGAGAGAUUAGCUGAAACACAGAAUAUAGCGCCAUCAUUCGUGAAGGGGUUUCUUUUGCGGGACAGAGGAUCAGAUGUUGAGAGUUUGGACAAACUCAUGAAAACCAAAAACAUACCUGAAGCUCACCAAGAUGCAUUUAAAACUGGUUUUGCCGAAGGUUUUCUGAAAGCUCAAGCACUCUCAAAAAAAACCAGUGAUUCCCUAAGACGAACCUGUCUGAUUCUCUUUGUUCUGCUGCUAUUCGGCAUUUAUGGACUUUUAAAAAACCCAUUUUAUCUGUCUGCUUCCGGACAACAACGGGGCUUGAUUCUGCAAUAGAUCCUGUCCAGAUGAAAAAUGUCACCUUUGAAAGUGUUAAAGGCUUUAAAUGGCUAUGAACCCUGUUGGAAUUGUAUAAAGGGAACAAUUGAGGAAGAGGUUGGUGCAGUGAUUAUUUGAAAACUUCAGUCAUCAGUGUGGAGGGCCCUUCUCAUUGUGUUUGAGGUGGAGGAAGCUAAACAAGAAUUACAGGAAGUUGUUGAAUUCUUGAAAAAUCCACAAAAAUUUACUAUUCUUGGAGGUAAACUUCCAAAAGGAAUUCUUUUAGUUGGACCCCCAGGGACUGGAAAGACACUUCUUGCCCGAGCUGUGGCGGGAGAAGCUGAUGUUCCUUUUUAUUAUGCUUCUGGAUCAGAAUUUGAUGAGAUGUUUGUGGGUGUGGGAGCCAGCCGUAUCAGAAAUCUUUUUA